rnacentral:rRNA from 1 species
AGAACGAACGCUGGCGGCAUGCCUAACACAUGCAAGUCGGACGCUUUCGGGGGUUUCGGCCUCCGAGGGAGUGGCGGACGGGUGAGUAGCGCGUGGGAACCUGCCCCUUUGUGGGGGAUAACCGAGGGAAACUUCGGCUAAUACCGCAUGCGCCCGGGGGUAACUCCGGGGAAAGAUUUAUCGCAGAGGGAGGGGCCCGCGUCGGAUUAGGUAGUUGGUGGGGUAACGGCCUACCAAGCCGGUGAUCCGUAGCUGGUCUGAGAGGAUGAUCAGCCACACUGGGACUGAGACACGGCCCAGACUCCUACGGGAGGCAGCAGUGGGGAAUAUUGGACAAUGGGCGCAAGCCUGAUCCAGCAAUGCCGCGUGAGUGAUGAAGGCCUUAGGGUUGUAAAGCUCUUUCGGCGGGGACGAUGAUGACGGUACCCGCAGAAGAAGCCCGGCUAACUUCGCGCCAGCAGCCGC